rnacentral:rRNA from 1 species
GACGAACGCUGGCGGCGUGCCUAAUACAUGCAAGUAGAACGCACAGUUUAUACCGUAGCUUGCUACACCAUAGACUGUGAGUUGCGAACGGGUGAGUAACGCGUAGGUAACCUGCCUGGUAGCGGGGGAUAACUAUUGGAAACGAUAGCUAAUACCGCAUAAUAUUGAUUAUUGCAUGAUAAUUAAUUGAAAGGUGCAAUUGCACCACUACCAGAUGGACCUGCGUUGUAUUAGCUAGUAGGUGAGGUAACGGCUCACCUAGGCGACGAUACAUAGCCGACCUGAGAGGGUGAUCGGCCACACUGGGACUGAGACACGGCCCAGACUCCUACGGGAGGCAGCAGUAGGGAAUCUUCGGCAAUAGACGAAAGUCUGACCGAGCAACGCCGCGUGAGUGAAGAAGGUUUUCGGAUCGUAAAGCUCUGUUGUAAGAGAAGAACGGGUGUGAGAGUGGAAAGUUCACACUGUGACGGUAUCUGACCAGAAAGGGACGGCUAACUACGUG